rnacentral:rRNA from 1 species
AUACGGAGGGUGCAAGCGUUACUCGGAAUCACUGGGCGUAAAGCGCGCGCAGGCGGGCUGAUAAGUUGGAUGUGAAAGCCUACGGCUCAACCGUAGAACUGCAUCCAAAACUGUCAGUCUAGAGUGUGGGAGAGGAAGAUGGAAUUAGUUGUGUAGGGGUAAAAUCCGUAGAGAUAACUAGGAAUACCAAAAGCGAAGGCAAUCUUCCGGAACACUACUGACGCUGAGGCGCGAAGGCGUGGGGAGCAAACAGGAUUAGAAACCCCGGUAGUCC